AUUCAAAAUAGUAGAGGCACUUGAUCUGACUUUGUUAGUUUGAAUACAGAUGAAGCUGGAGAAAGGAAAGCAAGUAGGCCUACUAACUACAGGGGCACAUCAUUUGUCUCCAGAUACCUUUAAAGAUAAUCCUUGUGAAACAGCGACCGAGCUGCAGGGAUGUGUGUUAAUUACGCUUCACUGGUGAG